GGGCGGAUAACUCAGGGGUAGAGUGCCACGCCGACAUCGUGGAAGCCGAUGGUUCAAUUCCGUCUCCGCCCA
rnacentral:tRNA from 1 species